UACGGAGGGGGCUAGCGUUGUUCGGAAUUACUGGGCGUAAAGCGCGCGUAGGCGGACCUGCAAGUCGGGGGUGAAAGCCCGAGGCUCAACCUCGGAACUGCCUUCGAUACUGCGGGUCUCGAGUCCGGGAGAGGUGAGUGGAAUUCCUAGUGUAGCGGUGAAAUGCGCAGAUAUCAGGAAGAACACCCGUGGCUAAGGCGGCUCUCUAGUACGGUACUGACGCUGAGACGCGAAAGCGUGGGGAGCGAACAGG
rnacentral:rRNA from 1 species